GACGUAGGGGGCCAGCGUUGUUCGGAAUUACUGGGUGUAAAGGGUCAGUAGGCGGUGUGGCAAGUUGGGAGUGAAAUCUAUGGGCUCAACCCAUAGGCUGCUUCCAAAACUGCUGUGCUUGAGUGUGGGAGAGGCGCGUGGAAUUGCAGGUGUAGCGGUGAAAUGCGUAGAUAUCUGCAGGAACACCCGUGGCGAAAGCGGCGCGCUGGACCACUACUGACG
rnacentral:rRNA from 1 species